rnacentral:rRNA from 1 species
UACGUAGGUGGCAAGCGUUAUCCGGAAUUAUUGGGCGUAAAGCGCGCGCAGGUGGUUUCUUAAGUCUGAUGUGAAAGCCCACGGCUCAACCGUGGAGGGUCAUUGGAAACUGGGAGACUUGAGUGCAGAAGAGGAAAGUGGAAUUCCAUGUGUAGCGGUGAAAUGCGUAGAGAUAUGGAGGAACACCAGUGGCGAAGGCGCUUCUGGUCUGUAACUGACACUGAGGCGCGAAAGCGUGGGGAGCAAACAGG